rnacentral:rRNA from 1 species
AAUAGCCUAACGGCUGAACCAGCAACUUGGAGGAAUGUAUAGCAAUAGCUGAUUGCACCAACAAAUAGUUGAUGCAAUAUUGACUCUGUCAAAUAAAAUUCUAGGUAGAAUUAUGAUAAUGACAUUGUCUGCCUAUAUGUCUUGACCAAAUUACGUGCCAGCAGUCGCGGUAAUACGUAGAAGACUAGUGUUAUUCAUCUUUAAUAGGUUUAAAGGGUACCUAGACGGUAAAUCAAGCCUUCACAGGGACUAAUUUACUAGAGUUACUUACGAGGGGGUAUUAAAGUACUGCAGGUGUAGAGAUGAAAUUCUGUCAUACCUCUUUUCAAAAGAAAAAUUAUGGCACAGGUAUAGGUGAAAGCAUCCCCUUAUGUGAUAACUGACGUUGAAGGACGAAGGCUUUGUGUCGCGAACAGGAUUAGAUACCCCAGUAGUCAAAGCAGAAAAUGAUGAAUGUCAUAGAUUAGAUAAAUAGUUUAUUCUAUAAAUGAAAAUGUAAGCAUUCCACCUCAAGAGUAAUUUGGCAACAUUGGAACUGAAAUCAUUAGACCGUUUCUGAAACCAGUAGUGAAGUAUGUUGUUUAAUUUGAUGAUCCGCAAAAAACCUUACCACAAUUUGAAUAUUUAUAUCUAUCUUUUUUUUCGUAAAAAAAUAAAAAGGUAAUAUAUUUACAAGCGUUGCACGGCUGUCUUCAGUUAAUGUCGCGAGACUUUGGUUAGUUCCAUUAAAUUAACGUAAACCCUUACUUUAUUUUUAUAUGAAGUAGUUCCCCGCUAUAUUGGAUAUGAUAACAGGGACUAAGACAAGUCAUCAUGGCCUAAAUAUUGUGGGCUAUAGACGUGCCACAUAAACCUUACAAAAGGGUGUGAAAUUGCGAAAUUGAGCUAAUCCCCCAAAAAUGGAUAAACAUUGUUAAU